AUUCUCGCUCCUGUUGAAAAGUGCAUUCUUGGUCGUGGAAAUCCCAGGGUCUGGAUCUUGCAAAAGAAAGCAUAUGAAAAUGUCAUCGCUCAGCAGCAAUUGUCCACACCUGGAGUCAGCUGGAGAGAUAACAAAAGAAGAAUUGAUACAGAAGUCUCAUGGCACCUGUCAGGACUGUAAAGUUAGAGGACCCAACCUUUGGGCAUGCUUGGAGAGCUCUUGGACUCUUAUUGAAAAACUUAAUUUCAUACCAACAGUUCCAAAAAGCAGCCAGCACAUGAACAGAUGUACGUAUGUUGGCUGUGGCGAGUCCCAUGUUGAUCACAGUACCAUCCAUUCCCAGGAGACAAAGCACUGUCUAACUGUCAACCUUACUACGCUCCGUGUUUGGUGUUACGCCUGUAGUAAGGAAGUAUUCCUGGAUAGAAAAUUAGGAUCUCAUUCUCCAUUGCCCAAUGCAAGGCUGACUCAAACACAAGAAAAUAGCGUGCAGGAUUUUAAAAUACCCAGUAUUCCCACGCUGAAGAUUCCAUUAUCAGCAGUAUUUGAUGACCUUGAUAUAGAAGUGGAAGAGGAUGAGUUAAAGACUAGAGGUCUAACAGGAUUAAAAAAUAUUGGUAACACUUGUUACAUGAAUGCAGCUUUACAAGCUCUUUCCAACUGCCCACCUUUAACGCAUUUCUUUCUUGACUGUGGAGGCUUAGCCCGAACAGAUAAAAAACCAGCAAUUUGUAAAAGUUACCUCAAGCUGAUGACAGAACUCUGGCACAAAAACAGGCCUGGUUCUGUUGUUCCAACUGGUUUAUUUCAAGGAAUUAAAAGUGUUAAUCCCACUUUUAGAGGCUACUCUCAACAGGAUGCACAAGAAUUUUUGCGUUGCUUAAUGGAUCUGCUUCAUGAAGAACUUAAAGAACCCAUUGUGGAAGUGGAAGAUGCACAGACAAUGAGUUCUGAAGAGAGUAUGGAAGUAGACAAGAGCCAGUCAGAUGUAGGCUUUCAGUCUUGUGAGUCCUGUGGUACCUGCGAUAAAAUAGAAAAUGAUGCUGUUUUCAAACCUGUCUUGGAGGAUCCUGCAGAGACAGCCAUGUUAAUUCAGGAUGAUGACAACAACUCAAUCACAUCCAAAGACUGGCAGAAAGAAAAAAUAUCAAGCAACAAACUUAACAGAGCAGAUUCUAUGGAGGAUCUGGAAAAAGACACAAACAGUACUUCAGAAGCAAAUGAAUUUUUAAAUAAUCAAGGAACUGUCAAAGUACAGAUACACAGCAGAUUCUCAGAGUACAUCAAUGAUGUCCACAUGAAUGAUGUAUCUGGAGGCCAAACUGUGUCAUCAAAUGAAGGGAUGAACACACGCUUGUCAAGCAGUCCUCCAAAGUCAUGCACAUCAUGCUCUUCAUCGACACCAAUACACAAAAAAGCCUCAACUGUAUCAUCACCAAAAAGGAAGAAGUGCAAGAAGUACAGGAGUGUUAUCUCUGAUAUAUUUGAUGGGACUAUAAUAAGCUCAGUACAGUGCUUGACUUGUGAUCGGUUGUCUGUAACCUUGGAGACUUUUCAGGAUCUGUCCUUGCCAAUUCCAGGUAAGGAAGAUCUUGCUAAACUCCAUUCUGCAAGUCAUCAGACAUCUCUAGUCAAAACAGGGUCGUGUGGAGAAGCAUAUGCCCCCCAGGGCUGGAUAGCUUUUUUUAUGGAAUAUUUCAAAAGAUGUUUCAGGUUUGUUGUCUCAUGUGUUCCUAGCUGGUUUUGGGGUCCAGUUGUAACCUUACAAGAUUGUCUUGCUGCCUUUUUCGCCAGAGAUGAGCUGAAGGGUGAUAACAUGUACAGCUGUGGAAGGUGUAAAAAGUUAAGAAAUGGAGUGAAGUUCUGCAAAGUGCAAAAAUUUCCAGAGAUACUCUGUAUUCAUCUCAAAAGAUUUAGACAUGAACUUAUGUUUUCCACAAAAAUUGGAACCCACGUGUCCUUUCCAUUGGAAGGCCUUGAUCUUCAGCCUUUCCUUGCGAAGGACAGUCCAGCUCAGAUAGUGACUUAUGAUCUCCUAUCUGUCAUCUGCCAUCAUGGAACUGCCAGCAGUGGACAUUAUAUAGCUUAUUGUCGAAACAAUUUAAAUAAUUUGUGGUAUGAAUUUGAUGACCAAAGUGUCACAGAGGUUUCAGAAUCCACAGUGCAAAAUGCAGAAGCCUAUGUUCUCUUCUACAGAAAGAGUAAUGAAGAAGCUCAAAGAGAGAGACGGAGAAUAUCAAGUCUACUGAAUAUGAUGGAACCAAGUCUUCUGCAGUUCUAUGUUUCAAGACAGUGGUUAAAUAAAUUCAAGACUUUUGCAGAGCCAGGACCAAUUUCUAAUAAUGACUUCCUUUGUAUGCAUGGAGGUGUUCCUCCCCACAAAGCAGGCUUCAUAGAGGACCUGGUUGUAAUGCUACCUCAAAAUAUAUGGGAUAAUCUGUACAGCAGGUAUGGAGGAGGACCAGCUGUUAACCAUCUGUAUGUUUGUCAUACCUGCCAAAUAGAGUCUGAACGACUUGAAAAAAGAAGGAAAAAUGAAUUGGAGAUGUUUAUUCGGGUAAAAAACUUUACAGGGCAUUCCAAGAAGAAGAAUCUCCAUCAACUUUUUACUGCAUCAGUAUGCAGUGGUUCAGAGAAUGGGAGGAAUUUGUGAAAGGAAAAGACAGUGAUCCCCCUGGUCCUAUUGAUAAUGCUAAGAUUGCAAUAACAAAAUGUGGAAAUACUGUGCUAAAACAAGGUGCAGAUUCUGGACAGAUAUCUGAAGAAACGUGGAAUUUUCUUCAGUCAAUCUAUGGUGGAGGCCCAGAGAUUAUACACAGGCCACCUGUUCCUACAGUAGAACCUGAUAUCUUGCAAACAGAAGAGAAGAUUGAGUUAGAAACUCAUUGUCUGUAGCUACUGAGGAAGGGAUGAAUUUGUAAGGAAUCCAGCUUCCUUACAAAAUGCCCAAAAUACAUUCCUAAAAGUUUUAUUCUCUUGUCUAUUGGAGGCACAUCUCACUGGGCAUUACAUUAACUACAGAAGUGUAAGUUGAAAUAUACAUUGCAAUUUGUUUAAAUGAAGACUGUUUCUCUGUUUUGGAAAGUGUGUAGUUUAUUCUUCUUGGAGUGUUUGGUGAGUGGAAAACACUGUCAUUUCUGGACUUUUCAGUGUAAGUCAAAAUCCUGUUAUAUCCUUAGACUUGAAAAAUGGGAGCAAAGUUCUAGAGAUGUAUGUAACCUUCCUGAUUGGGCUUCUGAUACCCACAAAUGUCUGCCUUCUUAAUUGUAAAGUCUUGACAAUGUUAGGUAUAAGGAGAGUAUAUUCUAAAUGGAUUGCAAUCAAUGAUAAAGAAAAAGGAUUUUUAUGUCUUAAAUGCUCAGGAAAAAAAUUCUCACUUAUUUUGCACUGUAAGUAUAUAUAAAAUGAGUGACAUCCAAAUACUUAACAUAUUUGAAUGGAUCAAACAUUAACGUAGAUUGAAUAUUGUUUUAGUCAGCGAAUGUCAUAAGUUAUUACCUGCUCAAUUUUGCAUCAUUAGGCUUCUGUAACUCUAUAAACCUGCUAGCGUUAAUAAUAUUUGUGAGAAAAAAGAUGUAGUCUUCUCUAGGGUAAUGUUUGAGAGCAUGAAAUGUGAAAUGUAAAAUGACUAUGGACAUGAGUGAUAUAAAUUUUGGAAGUUAAAUUGUCUGGUCUCUUGAAUUAUAUUCACAGAUAGUUGCUUUUGAAGAAUUUUAUUGUAUUGUUCAUUAGCAUGAUGACCUAUAAUGUGAAAAGCUGGAUAAAAUGUAUAUAUUGCAAAUUUCACUAAAUGAAUCAGAUCGGAACGCA